AUGCUGGGAAGGGCACUGAAAUACUGCCUGGGUGCAGUGAGGAUGGUGAUGGAUCAGUGGGCACGUCCUGCCCGCUCUGGGGGCUGUGCAGGUGGUCAGCUGGGGUUGAGUGGUCAGCUGGCAUUGAGUGGUCAGCUGGGAUUGAGUGGUCAGCGGAGAUCGGGUGGUCAGCUGGCAUUGAGCGGUCAGCUGGGGUUGAGUGGUCAGCUGGCAUUGAGCAGUCAGUGGGGGUCAGAUGGUCAGCUGGCAUUGAGUGGUCAGCUGGCAUUGAGUGGUCAGCUGGGAUCGGGCGGUCAGCUGGCACUGAGUGGUCAGCUGGCAUUGAGUGGUCAGUGGGGACCGGGUGGUCAGCUGGGAUUGGAUGGUCAUCUGGCACUGAGUGGUCAGCUGGGAUCGGGCGGUCAGCUGGCACUGAGCGGUCAGCUGGGAUCGGGUGGUCAGCUGGCACUGAGUGGUCAGCUGGGAUUGAGCGGUCAGUGGGGGUCAGAUGGACAGCUGGCACUGAGUGGUCAGCUGGCACUGAGCGGUCAGUGGGGCCGUGCUCAGCGUGGGCACAGGGUGACCCUCCCGAGGUGGCUUUGGGUGGCAGCGCCCGGCUGUGCAGGAUGUCUGCACCAGGGGCUGUGCAGGCUGGCAGUGCCCCGUGGGGUGUGAGGGGCACCCCAGCCCCACGGGGGUCACGGCUGUGGCAGGGGGGUCUGGGGGUCCCUUGGGGAAGGGGUUUGGUGCUGGGCUGUGUUUGAGGGCAGUGGAAGUGUUCAAUCCAGAGCUGGUGGCAAUGGGCCACGUGUGGGCCUGGGGAAAGCGGGGCAAAGAGAAAGAACACGUUUCCUUUUCCUUCGGGGCAAAGAGAAAGAACACGUUUCCUUUUCCUUCCUCCUUUUUCACUUCCCUCUUCCUCUCCAGAAUAAUUUCAGCAAACCAGGGAAAAAGUAAAUUGACAAAAACCCACAUUUUCCUUGAGUAUUUCACCUCCUACACUUUUUUCUCCCCUUGUGUUGCUUGGCUGGGGGAUUCCCCAUCACUUUGGGUGCGAAUUGGGAUGUUUGUCACCAGUUCUGGGGACAGGCUGUGAGCUGCUGUGCCAGCCCAGAGCUUGGCUGGGGUAAGGGGCACUUGCCCCUCUGCCCUCCUAGGGAGAGCAUCCAUCAGGUGGGGAAGGAGCAUCUUCCCAGCUCUCCUUGGCUCUGCCAUCCUGCCUCCCUUCUCUCCAGCUGGGGGCACAAUUUGGGGAUGUUCGGGGCAUUUUCACCACCCAAAGUGGUGAAAAUUCAUCCCCAUCCACCUCGCUGUGGGAGAGUGCCUAACAGUGGGCUUCAGCUGAAGGUUUGCUCUGGUUUCCCUUUCCCGUGUUCAUCCUUUUAUUCCACCUUCCCCUCUCACUUCACUUUUCUCUUUUGUUUUAUUUUCUCUUUUCCUUUCCACAAAAAAACCCAACCAGACCCAUAAACCAAGUAUUAUGUUUUCACUACCUCCAUCCAUCACCCUGCCGUGUCCAAUGCAGGAAGCCACGCUCGGGAUGUAAGAGGGCCUUUCCCCUUUAUUUUUCCCUUUUUCCUGGCGAUUUUCUCUCCCUUCUGUCCCUCUGCCCCUCCUCUCUCUGGUCUCUCACCUGUAGUAUUUUACCUGGCUACUGUAACUGUAAAUAGCGAGUUUCAAUCUGUUAGCAAUGGUAACAGUACAGAAAACUGGUUUUGGGGUUUGUUCUUUUUUUUUUUUUUUUUUCCCGUUGUAUUGAUAUGAAAUGAGAUUAUAUUUUUGUCAGAGUAUAUUGUAAUAAUACUGACUUUGGACAUGGCCGAGUUGUACAGCGAUUUCUUGUUUAACCCUCUUGGCUCUUCCCGUGCACCCCCUCCCCAGGCUGCCCAAAUUUCCACGUCCCAGACCCAGAUCCUGGACAGGAGCAGCUCCUUGGCUCUGUAGCAGCUCCCCUCUCCUCCCCAGCCAGGGGAACAUCCCAGUGACAUCCCAGUUUCUUCCUCCCGAGCUCCGUUCUCCGGAGCGAUGCUGCUCGGGAUGUGCUUUACUUAAGCCAGAAGAGGGUGGUGUGGCUCAGGCUGCGCCAAAAUCAUCUCUGAACAGGCUGGGAAGGGGAAAUGGGGGAUUGAGAAUAUCCCUCAGGAUGGGAAAUUUUUGGGAAAUGAGGGAUUGAAAAUAUCCUUCAGGCUGGGAAGGUUUUUGGGGAAAUGAGGGAUUGACAAUAUCCUUAGGCUGGGAAGGUUUUUGGGGAAAUGAGGGAUUGACAAUAUCCUUAGGCUGGGAAGGUUUUUGGGGAAAUGAGGGACUGAAAAUAUCCCUAGGCUGGGAAGGUGUUUGGGAAAUGAGGGAUUGACAAUAUCCCUCAGGCUGGGAAUGUUUUUGGGGAAUGAGGGGUUGACAAUAUCCCUCAGGAUGGGAAGGUUUUGGGGAAAUGAGGGAUUGACAAUAUCCUUCAGGCUGGGAAGGGGAAAUAAGGGAUUGAGAAUAUCCCUCAGGAUGGGAAGGUUUUUGGGAAAGGAGGGACUGACAAUAUCCUUCAGGCUGGGAAGGUUUUUGGGGAAAUGAGGGGUUGACAAUAUCCAUCAGGCUGGGAAGGUUUUUGGGAAAUGAGAGGCUGACAAUAUCUUUUAGGAUGGGAAGGUUUUGGGGAAAUGAUGGAUUGACAAUAUCCUUCAGGCUGGGAAGGUUUUUGGGAAAUGAGGGGCUGACAAUAUCCUUCAGGAUGGGAAGGUUUUUGGGGAAUGAGGGAUUGACAAUAUCCCUCAGGCUGGGAAGGUUUUUGGGAAAUGAGGGGUUGACAAUAUCCCUAGGCUGGGAAGUUUUUGGGAAAUGAGGGAUUGACAAUAUCCCUCAGGCUGGGAAGGUUUUUGGGAAAUGAGGGGUUGACAAUAUCCCUAGGCUGGGAAGGUUUUUGGGAAAUUAAGGGUUGACAAUAUCCCUCAGGAUGGGAAGGUUUUUGGGGAAUGAGGGAUUGACAAUAUCCCUCAGGAUGGGAAGGUUUUUGGGAAAUGAGGGGUUGACAAUAUCCCUAGGCUGGGAAGUUUUUGGGAAAUGAGGGAUUGACAAUAUCCCUCAGGCUGGGAAGGUUUUUGGGAAAUGAGGGGUUGACAAUAUCCCUAGGCUGGGAAGGUUUUUGGGAAAUUAAGGGUUGACAAUAUCCCUCAGGAUGGGAAGGUUUUUGGGGAAUGAGGGAUUGACAAUAUCCCUCAGGAUGGGAAGGUUUUUGGGUAAGGAGGGAUUGCCAAUAUCCCUCAGGCUGGGAAGGUUUUUGGGGAAUGAGGGGUUGACAAUACCCCCAGCCCGACUGUCCCUGGGUGGGGAUGGGCGGCUGUGUCUCCCCCAGCCCCCCGCACCCACCCCAGGCCAUGAGGGUGAGAUGCAGAGAGGGAUUUUCUUCACUUCAAAUGGGUGUUCAGAGUGAGAUUUUCAUGCUGGUGCUGGCCCAGCUCCUCCUUCUCCAGGCAGGAACCCACCACAGAGCCGCAGGAGCAUCCCCAAACCCUCUCCUGGGACCAUGCUGGGAUGUCCCCAUGGGCUCCUGGCAUCUCCGAGGCUGGGAGGUGAAGCAGCCCCACCUUGGGCCAUGACUCCCCUCCUCCCCACGGCUCUUUCCAAGCAUUUGCAGGCAAAUCUGAUGCUGGAGAAGUGGGGAUCGUGGUGGCCCAGCUGCUGCUCCCUCCUCCUCCAUUCUCCCCCAUCCCCUUUGCUCCCCGUAGCUCAGUUAUGCAGGUAGGUGUUAGCAAACCUGGGGUGUCUGCAAAAACUUUUGUAAAAUAGAAUAAACCCUUGAAAUGAUGCACUAAAAGGAAAAAAAAAAAAAAUCAUAAAUGCCCCUUUCCCCUCAGCUUCUCUGUGUGAUGGUUCCUUGGAUGUCCCCGCUCAGCCCCACAGGCAGCUCUGCAUCCUCCCCCCAGGCUGCUGCACAGGUAGAAACAAACCAGGACGUGCACUUCCCCCGAGGAGUUUUAUUUAUUGUUUUGAGAAGCAAUUUAAAAGGGAAAAACAACAAAAAAAAAGAGAAACUGUAUCUAUAAUAUAUAUAUAUAUAUAUAUAUAUAUUUUUAACCUCUUUUUUUUUUUUCCUGAUGCUCCUCCACCCGUGUGUGUGGGUGUGUGUGUGUGUGCGAGUCAAGGGAUUUGGUGGCCAGGGCUGGCAGCUCGGGGCAGCCGUGGGGCAGCCGUGGGGCAGCUGUGGGGCAGCUGUGGGGCAGUUUUGGGGCAGUUUUGGGGCAGUUGUGGGGCAGCUGCCCCCGUCCCCAGCCGGAGCACAGGGACCAGGGCUCCCUCCCAUCCCAGCUCUCAGUGCCCAGCAGCAGCAGUGCGAGGGGAGGGAGGCUUUAUGUGGAGUUUGUAAUAUUUUAACCGGGAUUUUUGCCUAAUUCCAUCUUUCUCUGAAGUGUUUGCAACCCUCGGGCUCUGGCCUGACCGAGAACCUCCCGCGCCCUGGGGAUGUCACCCCCACUCCCUGUCCCCGUUCCCUCCCUACUUCGCUCCCUUGACAAUCAGUGGCUCCUUCCCAGGGACUGCAGCACGUGGUUGAGACGUCUAUUUCGUUUUUUCAAUAUUCCUUUUUUUGUGCUGUAUGGUGAUGCGUUAUUGUAUAUUCCACAAUAAGACAAAAAAAAAUAUAUAAAAAAAAUGAUAAUAAUAAUAAUUACCAUGAGAAAUUCUUAUGAGUUUUGUUUGGAAACUCUUUCACUAUAUUUGUUGUAAAGAGGUUUACUAUUAAAAAGAAAAAAAAAAAUACACGUUUCUGAUAAUUUUCCACGCCUCUGGCUCUUUCUUUCCUCCUCUCUGCAUGGCAGGGUGCAGCAGGGUGCCACUCUG
rnacentral:lncRNA from 1 species